rnacentral:rRNA from 1 species
GAUGAACGCUAGCUACAGGCUUAACACAUGCAAGUCGAGGGACCGGCGCACGGGUGAGUAACACGUAUCCAACCUGCCCUUUACUCGGGGAUAGCCUUUCGAAAGAAAGAUUAAUACCCGAUGUAACGGAUGGGGAUGCGUUCCAUUAGGUUGUUGGUGAGGUAACGGCUCACCAAGCCUUCGAUGGGUAGGGGUUCUGAGAGGAAGGUCCCCCACAUUGGGACUGGGACACGAUCCAAACGCCUACGGGAGGCAGCAGUGAGGAAUAUUGGUAAAUGGGCGUUAGCCGGAACCAGCCAAGUAGCGUGAAGGAUGAAGGCUUAUGGGGCGUAAACUUCUUUUAUAUAAGAAUAUGUAUUAUAUGAAUAAGGAUCGGCUAACUCCGUGCCAGCAGCCGCGGUAAUAC